rnacentral:misc_RNA from 1 species
GAUGAAGAACGCAGCGAAAUGCGAUAAGUAAUGCGAAUUGCAGAAUUUCCGUGAGUCAUCGAAUCUUUGAACGCACAUUGCGCCCGCCAGUAUUCUGGCGGGCAUGCCUGUUCGAGCGUCAUUUCAACCCUCAAGCCCCCGGGUUUGGUGUUGGGGAUCGGGCUGUACUCCAGCCCGGCCCCGAAAUCUAGUGGCGGUCUCGCUGCAGCCUCCAUUGCGUAGUAGCUAACACCUCGCAACUGGAACGCGGCGCGGCCAAGCCGUUAAACCCCCAACUUCUGAAUGUUGACCUCGGAUCAGGUAGGAAUACCCGCUGAACUUAAGCAUAUCAAUAAGCGGAGGA